rnacentral:rRNA from 1 species
UACAGAGGGUGCAAGCGUUAAUCGGAAUUACUGGGCGUAAAGCGCACGUAGGUGGUUUAAUAAGUUUGAUGUGAAAGCCCCGGGCUUAACCUGGGAACGGCGUUGAAGACUGUUAAACUUGAGUCGGACAGAGGGUUGUGGAAUUUCCGGUGUAGCGGUGAAAUGCGUAGAGAUCGGAAAGAACACCAGUGGCGAAGGCGACAGCCUGGGUCCAGACUGACACUGAGGGGCGAAAGCGUGGGGAGCAAACAGG